GAUGAACGCUGGCGGCGUGCCUAAUACAUGCAAGUCGAGCGAACAGACGAUGAGCUUGCUCCUCUGACGUUAGCGGCGGACGGGUGAGUAACACGUGUAUAACCUACCUAUAAGACUGGUAUCACUUCGGGAAACCGGAGCUAAUACCGUAGGAUAUAUUGAACCGCAUGGUUCAAUGGUGAAAUUCGGUUUUUCUGUCACUUAUCGAUGCAUCUGCGCCGGAUUAGCUAGUUGGUAAGGUAACGGCUUACCAAGGCAACUAUGCGUAGCCGAACUGAGAGGGUGGUAGGCCACAUGGGAACUGAGACACGGUCAAGACUCCUACGGGAGGCAGCAGUCGGGAAUCUUCCGCAAUGGGCGAAAGCCUGACGGAGCAACGCCGCGUGAGUGAUGACGGUCUUCGGAUCGUAAAACUCUGUUAUUAGGGAAGAACAAAUGUGCAAGUAACUAUGCACGUCUUGACGGUAACUAAUAAGAAAGCAACGGCUAACUACGUG
rnacentral:rRNA from 1 species